UAUCUUUAACUAUUUUAUAAGGUACAGUUUCAAAUUUAGUCUGAGAAUUUUUUUAUCGUACUUUGAGUUUAGUUAUGUGUUAUAAUUGAUAUAGUUCUUAGCUAAUUUGACAAACAAUGAUGGCUCCAAUGCCUAUGUCGCUUCUUUGCUACAAAAUGUAAAAUGUGAUUUAUCUUUUGCCGAUCUUCGUGAAAGUGUUUUUGUUUAUACAUUGCAGGAACCCAUAAGCCAAUAGUAUUAGGUUUAGAUGGCUUUCCAGGGAUUGAAGUGGUUGGAGCUGCAGGCCGAACUCAAAUUAUUUGUUUUUUCAGUACCAUUUGUUAAUUCAAUUGCAAACAUUGUGCUAAUAGGUAAAGCUUCUGUUAUUUACACCUUUUUUUAUUUAACAAAAUUGAAUGUACAAUUAGGCGUUUAAGUAAGUUUUCUUUGUGUAGAUACACCAUCUAGCCUUACUCACGCCCAACUCUUUUUAUCAUUCACUUCCAACUAUAUUUUUCACUUUGUGUAGAUAAAGACAUGUCCCAAUCUUCUUGAUCUGCUCACGUAUGGAGGCGAUCUGAAUUAAAGGAAGAACUCUAUGUUGUCUGCUUGAAUCAAUUGUUCAUCUCUACAUUAACGAAUAGGAUCUUCACUAAGAUAUAUCGAGCAGAGCUCAUCACAACAUCCUGUGACGUUCUCAACCAUGUUAUCCUUCACGAUAAACAUAUUUUGAGGGAGACAAGAGAGCAUCCAAGCACGACCAUGUUGAACUUGAUGUCUUGCUGCAGUACAAGCGGCUGUUGUCCCUUGAUCCAGGUAUGAUUUCUGAAGAUUAUUUCACUAAUUAGCUAUACCCAGUGACCAGUGUAGAUCUGGCACAUCCACUUCUAAAUGAACAAGAUAUUUCAAGGUGAUGCAUCGUGUCGUGGUCGUUGUCUGUGCUAUCCGUCUUCCUCAUUUGUGCUAAUUUGAUUACUCUUUUUUGAAGGCAGUGCAUCGUCGGGUUUCUCAUAACAUGUUGGUAGAUUUUAUUUAUUGUCUUCUUAAGAAAUAGAUCGACCCAAAACAUUGUUCAUAUUUACAGGUUGAUUAUUUUCAUAGAUUUAUAAUCCAAAUACAUGACCCACUACAAGAUUACGAGCUUGGAGUCGUCCUUCUUGUUUAGGAGGGCAGAUUUGGUACUAAACACUUAAUUGGUGUUGAUAGACUUGUACUGUGAAAAAUAAUGGUAAUAUGAACAGACUGAUAGUGGUACACAUAGGGUGACAAGGAGUUAUUAUUUUCAUUCCUAUAUGCAACUUUUCUGGCACUAACCAAUAGCAUUGUGCUGCCAGAACACCGUAUGCUUAGUACUGAUUAAAUUUUAUUAUCAGCAAGUCAUAUGCCUUGGUUUGGUGGUGCACACCGCAAGAGCUCCUUAAAUUUAGGGACCCAUCAAGCCACAGUUUCAUGGUUCUCAAGAACAUUUAUCUCGAGAAAAUUCCAAAUAUUUUGGUACCAAAUUUGUCUUUUCGUCAUCCCAUUUUUCUGAUGUAAGUUGGAUGACCUUCAUUCAGUUAGAAGUAUAAGAACCGCAACAGCUGCUGAAGGGUUUGAUUAAGUUAGAAAAAAACUUCCACAAAAUCUUGUCACCAAUAAAAUUUACCUAUAAAGGAAUCAUUUUAGAAAAUAGAUACAAGAUCCUUAUCAGUUUGAGAUGUUCAACUCCCAACUUGUCUUCUUUGUUCUGUUCUGUGCAAGUGUAUCUUGUUGAUUAUGUGGAUGGUGUACUUGUACAUACUAAAAUUGCGGGCAAAACAAAGUGAUGGAUGGUCUACAAGAUGAUAUUAAUGAAUUAAUCUUCAGGGUAAAAUAAUCUAACCAACAUGCAUCUGUUUAGUUUGAAAUAAUAUUGCCUUCAAAAUGUAUGAAUGCAGUCUUCGCAUCUAAUGUUGUAGAAUCAAACAUUGAUGUUGCCUUACUAAGCAUGUAUGUAAAUUCUCUUGGGGAGAAAAAAUAUUCACUUGCAAUUUGCAACAUUGUCCUGAAAUACAUGAGGUUCACACAUAUAA